rnacentral:tRNA from 1 species
AAUCAUUUAGUUUAAAAAACUUUUAUUUUGAAAAUAAAAAUUAUUAAUAAGUAUUGAUUU